GGACGGCCUUCGCCGAGUUCCGGGGCUCGUACCCGGGAGCCGGGGACCCAUGUGUCCCAUGGGGUGAAUCGGAUGCCGUCCGCCGGUGUCCGUAGGAGACCUUCCUGCUCCGAACCCGUCAGCUAACCCGGUAGGCGAGAGGGAAGGAAAGG
rnacentral:sRNA from 2 species